rnacentral:tRNA from 2 species
GCUCGAAUGGUGGAAUAGGUAGACACGCCGGACUUAAAAUCCUGUGGCCAGUAAUGGCCGUGCCGGUUCGACCCCGGCUUCGAGUACCA